rnacentral:rRNA from 1 species
GAUGAACGCUGGCGGCGUGCCUAAUACAUGCAAGUCGAGCGAACAGACGAGGAGCUUGCUCCUUUGACGUUAGCGGCGGACGGGUGAGUAACACGUGGGUAACCUACCUAUAAGACUGGGAUAACUUCGGGAAACCGGAGCUAAUACCGGAUAAUAUUUCGAACCGCAUGGUUCGAUAGUGAAAGAUGGCUUUGCUAUCACUUAUAGAUGGACCUGCGCCGUAUUAGCUAGUUGGUAAGGUAACGGCUUACCAAGGCAACGAUACGUAGCCGACCUGAGAGGGUGAUCGGUCACACUGGAACUGAGACACGGUCCAGACUCCUACGGGAGGCAGCAGUAGGGAAUCUUCCGCAAAGGGCGAAAGCCUGACGGAGCAACGCCGCGUGAGUGAUGAAGGUCUUCGGAUCGUAAAACUCUGUUAUUAGGGAAGAAUAAACGUGUAAGUAACUGUGCACGUCUUGACGGUACCUAAUCAGAAAGCCACGGCUAACUACGUG